rnacentral:rRNA from 1 species
AACGAACGCUGGCGGCAUGCCUAACACAUGCAAGUCGAACGAGACCUUCGGGUCUAGUGGCGCACGGGUGCGUAACGCGUGGGAAUCUGCCCUUGGGUUCGGAAUAACAGUUAGAAAUGACUGCUAAUACCGGAUAAUGUCUUCGGACCAAAGAUUUAUCGCCCAGGGAUGAGCCCGCGUAGGAUUAGCUAGUUGGUGAGGUAACGGCCCACCAAGGCGACGAUCGAUAGCUGUUCUGAGAGGAAGAUCAGCCACACUGGGACUGAGACACGGCCCAGACUCCUACGGGAGGCAGCAGUUGGGAAUCUUGGACAAUGGGGGAAACCCUGAUCCAGCCAUGCCGCGUGAGUGAUGAAGGCCUUCGGGUUGUAAAACUCUUUCGCGCACGACGAUAAUGACGGUAGUGCGAGAAGAAGCUCCGGCUAACUUCGUGCCAGCAGCCGCGGUAAU